AUAAAUGCAUUCAUAACAAAAAAAACUAUUUUUCAUUAAUUCUAUCUUUUCCUUGCAGCCAAAAAUCCAAGUCGCCUCCAAAUAUGAAAGACGUGUAGAUACAAGGUCAUACGACGACAAGAAGAAGCUCUUCGAAGGUGGAUACAUUGAGCAGACGAAAGAAACCAUGGAGAAGGUCUGGAACGAAAGAACAGACCAGUUUGGAAACCGUCCCAAAGCUAAACUGCCAAAAUGGUUCGGAGAGAGGCCAGGCAAGAAGAGGACGACCCAGAGAGCCCCGAGGAAGAGGAAGUGAAGAAGGAUGACGAAGUAGAGGAACCAGUCUUCGAAGCCGAAGAGGAAGAGGAGGAGGAGGCCGAGGAAGAGGAGGAGGAAGAGGAAGAGGAGGAGGAAGAAGAGGAAGAGGAGGAGGAAGAAGAAUAAAUCAUUCGCAAGAAGCUACGAGUCAGCGACGUUUAACCAGCAUCCUCAAAACUGCUGACCCAGUCAAAAAUUCUUCAGCUUCAAAAACACUCUGAAUGGAUUUUCAAAACUGCGCUAAUUGAGAACAGCUACCCGCCAUUCGGCGGCUGGGGGACCCAAAAAUCUAUAGGGCGACUCCAAAAAUCACCAAAACAGCAAUCAAAGUGCCACGGACUGACACUCACCCAGACGCCAUUUUAAUUUGAAAAAACAGACAAUUUUGAAUUUAACCAUCAAAAUUCUAGUUGUAAUAAGUUUGUUGCACUGUAAACAACAUUAUUAACAUAUUGAUUCCAACACCUAAUCUAACAUGAAAUUUAGAAAAAAAUGGCCGACUUUAAAGAUAAAAUGUGUGUACUAUCUAUAUGCAUUAACUAUUCUACAAUCUCCAUUCUUCUUAACUGGAACCUAAUUUCAUAAAUUCUUACAGAUCUGAUGAUCUCUUCUCUCUUCGAGAUUUGAGGUUUGUUGCAUUAUUAUAUAUACUCUGUCUGUUUUUCUCAUUAAUAAAUUAAUUUGGAAAUGUA